GACGAACGCUGGCGGCGUGCCUAAUACAUGCAAGUUGAGCGCUGAAGGUUGGUACUUGUACCAACUGGAUGAGCAGCGAACGGGUGAGUAACGCGUGGGGAAUCUGCCUUUGAGCGGGGGACAACAUUUGGAAACGAAUGCUAAUACCGCAUAAAAACUUUAAACACAAGUUUUAAGUUUGAAAGAUGCAUUUGCAUCACUCAAAGAUGAUCCCGCGUUGUAUUAGCUAGUUGGUGAGGUAAAGGCUCACCAAGGCGAUGAUACAUAGCCGACCUGAGAGGGUGAUCGGCCACAUUGGGACUGAGACACGGCCCAAACUCCUACGGGAGGCAGCAGUAGGGAAUCUUCGGCAAUGGACGAAAGUCUGACCGAGCAACGCCGCGUGAGUGAAGAAGGUUUUCGGAUCGUAAAACUCUGUUGGUAGAGAAGAACGUUGGUGAGAGUGGAAAGCUCAUCAAGUGACGGUAACUACCCAGAAAGGGACGGCUAACUACGUG
rnacentral:rRNA from 1 species